AGUUUCCACUCCCUGUUGUACAGACUCUGGAGACUGUGACACUUGUUAAUGGCCGUUUCUCACUCGCCUGUCGCUGCAUGUUAUUAAUCUCAGUCAUGAAAUCGCCAGAAACCCAUUUAACCUUAAUCAAAAGUUAGCAUAAUAUCACUCUCCUUCUUUGUUGCACAUUUUAUUUAUUUUCUAAUAGAAAACCUAGGCUUUUGGCUUUUGAUUAGAUUAUUGCGGUGCUUUUGGUUUGAGUAGAGUUGUUAUUAAGCAUGAGAUGGGAAAGAGUGGGUGUACAUGGAGGUGGUGGGCCUGGGAAAAGGUGGGGCCACACCUGUAACUCUGUCUUCGGAGGUAAGCUUCUCUACGUCUUCGGUGGCUAUGGCAAAGACAACAGACAUUCCAAUAAAGUUCACGUCUUUGACACUGUUAAUCGAAUGUGGAGUGAGCCAGUGAUGAAGGGAGCAUUGCCCACACCUAGGGACAGCCACAGUUGUACAAACAUUGGAGAUAAUCUGUUUGUGUUUGGGGGCACAAAUGGGAGAGAGCCUCUUAACGAUUUGCAUAUUUUGGACACUUCUUCAAAUACAUGGAUAUCACCAAGUCUAAGAGGCGAUUGCCCUAAUCCAAGGGAAGGCCACAGUGCAGCACUUAUUGGAAAACGGCUUUUCAUAUUUGGUGGAUGCGGCAAAUACGAUGACACUGAAAUAUACUAUGAUGAUGUUUACGUAUUAAAUACAGAGACAUUUGUUUGGAAAUGCAUUGUGCCAUCAGGCACUCCGCCAUGUAAGCGUGAGAGCCAUUCCUGUUCGUCUUGGAAUAAUAAGAUCAUUAUCAUAGGUGGUGAAGACACAUCUAGCUUUUAUUUGUCAGAUGUUCAUAUACUUGACACAGAUACUCUGGUUUGGUGCAAGUUGAAUACUACGGGCCAGAAUUUGCCGCCGCGAGCUGGGCAUACAACCAUUGCAUUUGGGAAGAACUUGUUUGUCUUCGGGGGUUUCGCUAAUGACCAGAGCCUAUUUAAUGAUGUUUACGUGCUUGAUGUUGCUUCAGGUACGUGGACUGAGGUCAUGCCCACUGGUGAGGGCCCAUCUGCCAGAUUCUCAGUAGCUGGGGAUUGCUUAGAUCCACACUUGGGAGGUGCUCUUGUGUUCAUAGGUGGUUGUGAUAAUAACCUUCAACCCUUGGAGGACAUGUAUUAUCUAUAUACAGGCCUUGUUAGAGAGGCUGAACGAGACGAAAGAAGGAUAGAGAAGUUGUCUUUGAGGAAGCAGUUGAAGUUAAAAUGCCAGGAGCAACAAGCUUUAGCUUCUCCCUAUGAUAAUGCUCUUGUUGGAUUUGAGAAUAACGCUUAUGUCCAUCACCAACUGCCUUUGAAUUAUACACAGCCAAGUCGACAGAACAUUUAUUUGAACGAAUACCAGACUCCUCUGGGGAAGAAGACUUUUCAAGCCAAGGUCACAAAGAGUUUUCCAGAUGGGUAUACCAUUGAAACUGUUAUAGAUGGAAAACCGCUUCGUGGAGUGCUAUUUUCCAACAAACCGAGACCUGAACAGACUCCCUGCAAUGAUUCUAUCAGAAUUAGGAAUACAGGAAGUGGUGAAACUGGUAAUGAGAAGCCGAACAACGACCAUAAUUCUGAUAGAGAAAUUACAAGACCUACAGAAACUAAUGUAAACAACUUCCAGCAAGCAGAUGUCUCUGGCGGGAAAUCUAUCAGAAAUGAGGCCCCGGUUAGAGAUGUUACAGCUGAGAUGAAGAGUCCAUCCCCCUCUAAUGCUUCACCAGCCCAAGAGAUUCAUGACGCCUCAAAGUCCUCUGUGGUGCCUGAUGUGAAUUUGGAAAGUAGUAGAGCGAGUGAUCCAGUAGAUUGUGGUACUAGGAUCUCUAAGGAGAAUGCUUCUGCAAUAAAUGAGUCGUAAAUCCUUUACUGAAGAAUCAAACAGCUUGGAGAAAGAUUCUCUUGAUCAAAGUCAAUUCAUGGAAAUCAAUAUGAAUACAGAAACCAGAUAUGAUCCUCACAUCUCACUUUAGGGCAUCUCAAUGUAGUCCUCUAGAUAAGAAUCAACGGAAACCUGAUUAGCCUUGCGCAAUUUUGUCAUCAGAUGGUGGUUAUUUCCUUGAAUUCCCGUUUGUCUAUGGCCCCCAGACUCUUUGACAUUCUCCCAAAGAAUUGUCAUCAUUUAACCAUUUCUUUUUAUAACUAUCAAACACUGUUUUUCUCUUUUUCCCCUUGUUGGUGUCUCUUUUCAAGGAGGUGGAAGCGAGAGUUGACAGGAGAGGAACUGGGGUGAAAAUGAUUUAGAUCCAAGGACUGCUUUUUUUGUCAAUAGCUCGAUAGCGACUGUUGUAUAUAUUAGGAUAUCAACUAGAACUUUUUGUCUUCCCAAUAUGACAAUUACUGAUGUUUGAGAAUUGGGAAUCCUCAUAUUUUUAUGCUUCAUAUUCAUCCCUUCUCUCUUUAA